rnacentral:sRNA from 1 species
GGACUCACUCGCCGGAAGCGCCGCAGCAUCAGAAGCCGGAAGUGACGUGGAAUACGAGGAUGCACACGAGAGAAAUUAUCGAGAAGCCAAGAAGCUUUUGGACAAGAUUCAGGUGAAAAAUGACUGAAAAUCCGGGAAUUUCACAUCGAAAACCUGCGAAAAUUACGAAUUUUUCACCAGAUUGACUGCUCAAAAAUUCAAUUUUAAGCUCAAAAAUUCAAUUUUAGAGCUAAAAUUCAUUUUUAAGCUCAAAAACCUUAAUUUUAAGCUCAAAAAUUCCAGAUUUUCAGCCCAAAACUUCCCAAAUUUCAGAGCACAACAACGACACAAGAGGAGGUGGCAGAGAAGCUCCGGGACGAUGCAGUUGCACGUACAGGAACACAAGUUAAACGAGUUGCCGAUGUGGUUGAGCUUGAAGAUGAUCUGGAAAUUAGCUAUAAACCACAUAG